rfam:Mus musculus chromosome 1, GRC primary reference assembly.
AUGCACGGCAGCACAUAUACUAAAAUUGGAGCAAUACAGAGAAGAUUAGCAUGGCCCCUAUGCAUGAUUGUCAACAACUAGUUCAUUACUCAGAAUGUUGGU